GCCGGACAGAGAGGAGGUACGACGUGGUUUCAGCAACAGGUGAGUGACCGUGACCUUAUCUCCGAAGGCGACAGCUUUGAAAACAUGGGUGUGUACCUGGAAAAGGCCGUGUCGCUCUCUGUACUCCUGCAGAAGCAAACUGGCGUGCGUCCGCUGUACUUUGGCUGCAACCUUCGUCGCCCGACGCCACCACCUCCGACCUCUGCUCCUACGGUGUGUGCAACGCCACGCUCGUCAUGAAGUGCAUACUGGAAAAGGUUGUUAACAUGUCCAGUGGGCUGCGCUCCUGACAGUGGCGCCACCUUCCCCCCUGCACUUAAGAAAGCAGUGCGUGGCAGUACGUAGCUGAGUGUGGUUUAGGAUUGAUGUGUGCCGCUAACAGUGAGGGAAGGAAUCUUGAGAAAAGGCAAACACUAGUCACAACCAGCAAGUGUAUGCUCCACCAGUCCCCCAAGCCCCCUCAGCACUACCUCUCCGCCUGCUGUGCCUCCACCUCAACAGGGAUGGGGUCAGCAGGAGGACUGUAUGUGGCAUGUGACUUGCUCCUGCUGCAGCCCCUCACAGUGGUCCUCUUCACUCUGCCGGGUCACAGGUCAAUGCACGGCUUGCUCUUGUGUCAGUGUGGAUUGGCUGGAGAAAUGGUCAUUUACAGUGGAUGAGAGGAUGGGGCAGUGUCUCCUGGAGCUGUGAGAGGUGAUGGAGGUGAUACGAUACCUUGAGUACACUCAGGACCUGCAUGCAACACCACCUCAUGCGGACACCUUCUCCAUUGACCUUGUAAUGUUUGUUAGCAAGCUGGUGGAGUCACAGGACCAGGAGCAGAGGUCCUGAUGGUGCUGGAUUCCUGCAGGAAGAGGAUAGAAUUCUACAGCAUGCCAGUCAAGAUAAAGGACACUCCACCACUGCCCGACAAUGGAGAGUAGCAAGAGCAUGUAGUUUCAAGGUCAUCUUCUCCCAAAAGCAAAGCAGAACCUCUCUACCAAGGGUUAUUAGGUGACGUGUCUGAGUAAGACCAAGAAGACUGAAGAGCAGAGCAUUGCACUUGUUGGUUUAGAGGAAGAAAACACUAAGCUCAAAAGCAGUGUGCAGCAGAUGGUGGGCUUUGUGUAUAAGAUCAAAGAUAGCUAUGAUGCUGCAGAGAAGAUACACCUACAAAUAGAGGAAUAGCAACAGGAGUGGGAGGCAAAGGUGGUCAGUGUCAGUAAAGACCACAGCCACAUCCAGGAGGAACUGCAGAAAACUGAGGGAUCCUUCUUUGAACUUGUGAGAAAGUCAAACAAGUUACUCAUGAGAAGAAUAAUUAUGUUGAGUACAACUGUGCUUUCAGUACUAUGCAGGAGAAACAUGAAAAGGCUCAAGAGGAACACAUGAACAAGAGAUGAAGAAAGCAUCAGGCAUAAUUAAACAUGCUGAAUUGAAGAUCUUUCUCUCACAGACUCUGUAACCAAGAAAGAUGCAGAGAUGAAGAGACACCCCACUCUUUUGGAAGACCUCACAGGGAACAUAAGAGGUUUAAGAACAAAGUAUGAAAGUGCAGAGGAUGAUGAACUAGAAAAAAAAAAUACAAGGCAUUAAGAAUGUUUUGGAAGAAGUUUAAGAAAGAAGCUUGCUUGUGGAUCCAAGGAGCCAGCAACUUAGAAGAAAUUGGCACCAAAGAAACAAUUAAAGCAGAAGAUGUGAAGAUAGGUGUGGUGAUGGUGAGGAUCCUGUGAUGCAGUAUUAAUACAUUGGAGGACAGGAUUCACCUCAACCAAGGCAGGAAUGAAAUAUGGAUGACGACUGGCCAAGUGGAUGAGGGCAAGGAGGUUUACUGUGAAGAGACAUGACAAGGAGGACCCUCAGACAACAGUACACAAGAGGAGAAACUAACAAGGAGUUAAUGAUCUGAAGGCCAAGAGGAGUAGCAUGUAGGGGAGAUACACAAAAUGGUAACAUGCAUCUUGAAUGGAUAUGAAAAAUGAAGCUGCUGAGCCAAAAUAAUGUUAGGUUCUUGUGUGAUGAAUGCCUGGAACAAAACACAGGAUGUAUGUAUGACAAAGGAGUAUUAGAAGCUUAAAGAAAGCAGCGAUAAGAGCUGCCAAACAGAAACCAAGAAGAGUGGCACCAAGGCCCAGAAAGACACUGCCAAGAAUCAGCAAGAUGUGACAAGACUGGACUAGAAAUGUGAAAGAAUGAUCAUGAUGAAGGCCCCCAGUAAAGAUUAUUGGGGCAUAACAUGCCUGUUUAAGUCAGGUGCUUCUUGCCUGUGGAGUAUUAUGUGCUUCUUGCCUGGGAGUAUUAUGUUAAUUGAAAAAAAGACAAAGCAAGAGACCAAGAAGAUGGAAGAUGCCAUACACAUUGUCCAGGGUGGAGGAAAUCAGUUACAGGAAAAUGGAAUGGAUAUCACUGUGAAAGAAAUAGUGGUAAGAAUCCUAAGAUAAACAUGAGAAAGUAUGGAGUACGAGAGGAUGAGAAGUGUAACAAAGUUUAAAAAAGUGAAUGGGCCAAGCAGAAUGAGGAUGGAAAUAAGAUAGAGCAGAUGAAGGCAAAAACAGUGUGUGGUGUGUGGACCUGAUGUGAAGAAUGAAUGAAUGACUGAGGAUAUACAUGGAAUGGAAGAGAGGCAAGAAAGGCUCGGAAGUUUGGAUGUAUGAAUGUGAGGUGUAGGAAACAAUGCCAUGAGUUACAUGGAUAAAGUAGAAUACACAAAUGAUCAUGGGAUGUAAGAAAUGUGGUGAAGUAGGCAAUAGUUGAAAUGUGUGGGACUGAGUGAAUGAAAGAAUAAGGUGGAAUAAAACUGCUUUGGAGAGGUACAGAGAGAAAUGGACUGCAGUGAGAGAAGUUGGUAUGAGGGAAUCUCUUUGACCACCAUGUAUGGAUGUGAAUGCAAGGAAUUUGAGUCCUGCAGCAAAGUGUGUCAGAUGUUUAAUAUAGGAGAGGAUGAAACAGUGGAGCUUGUGGUCCUUACUGUCUUAGUUCACACACUCCAGCGCCACAUACUCCACUGUCUCAUCCUCAUACCACACGUCUGGCACACUUUGCUGCAGAAUUCAGACUCCUUGCAUUCACAUCCAUACAUGGUGCUCUUGGGAAAGAGAGAUCAUCACAGAUUUCCCUUGUACCACUUUCUAUACCAACUCCAAAGUGCUCUUUUUGAUCAACAUUAUUGUAACAUUCACUCAGUCCCACACGUUCCACUAUUUGUCUCACUCUUCCUCUGUCUUACAUCCCGUGCUACCUUCAACUAUUCUUACUCUCAAUCACACAUCUUUUCUUGCUACAGGAAAAUGGAGUUGAAGCUGUGAUGCCUGCAGUAGUGGUAGGAAUCCGAAGAUAACCAUGAAAUAUUAAUAAUUACGUGGAGUACAAGAGGAUGAGAAGAGUACUAGUAACAAAGUUCAACAGUAGUGAAUGGCCAACAGCAGGAGGAACAGGAACAUGACCUCAACCUGGAUCAGACCUUCAGUGAUAGAUACCCUAUUCUGUACAAGGGAUGUGUAGUUCAGACCUUCAGUGAUAGAUAGCACACUAUUCUGUACAAGGGAUGUGUAGUUCACUUUAUUACAGAUAGCAACACAAUUCAUGAGAAUGAGACAGAGAGACACUACUACUGAAGGCAAGGACAUUCUCAUCCUUGUGUUGCUGUGUGUGGACCUGAAGUGAAAAAUAAAUUAAUGACUGAGGCUACAAGGAAUGGAAGAUAUAGGUCAACAAUCAGACAGAAAGGUAUUAUUAAGUUUGGAUGUAUGAAUGUGAGGUGUAGGAAUCUAUGCCAUGAGUGAGGAUGGUUUAAGUAGGAUACACAAGUGAUCACGGUAUGUUAGAAAGUGGAGAAAUGUGGUAAGGUAGACAAUAGUGAAAUGAGUGGGACUGAGUGAAUGAAAGAAUAAGAUGGAUGAAUUAAAACCACUUUGAAGUAUAUAGAAAGAAAGAGGCCCCAAUGAUAUGAUAUGAGUAUGUAUCUCUUGACCAAGGGCACUGUGUAUGGAUGUGAUUGCAGUCCUGUGGAAUGUGUGCGAUAUUGGAGAAGAUGAAAUGGUGGAUCAUGUGAUGCUUAUUGUCUGGCAUACUUCACACACUCCAACACCACAUGCUUCACCAUCUCAUCCUCUACCAUAUCACUCUGGCACACUUUGCUGCAGGACUACAACUCCUUGCAUUCACAUCCAUACACAGUUUCUCCUUGCUCUAAAGACAUCACCACCAAGACUUCCAUCAUAUCACUUUUCUUACACUGGAGCCUCUCUCUAUACUACUCCAGAGUAGUAGUCUUUUGUUCCACUUUAUAUUCUUCCAUUCUCUCAAUCCCACAUUUCAAUUGUCUGCCUCACUCUUCCUUUACAUCCCAUGCCCAAUCAUGGCUGAGUUUCCUGCACCUCACAUUCACACAUCCAAAUUUCAUGCCUUUUGUGCCUGAUUGUUGACCUCACUUACAUUCUUUGUAUCCUCAAUCAUUCAUUCUUCAUUCACCAGGUAAAACACAUACAUCCUUAAUAUUGCUGUCUGCAUUAAAGUGAACUACACACCUGGUGUUAGAGCCCAAGGCCCUGGGUUCAGGUUUAGAUCAUCUCAUCCUGCAAAAAUAACCUGCACAUCAGUGAGGAAGCUUUGGUUUGUCAAUUAACACCUGCAACACACCAUUCAGCAUAUUAUAUCUUUAGAUUUUGUUUAUAAUGAAGUAAGUGUUCUCUGAGGUCUGUUCAACAAAUGAAUAUAAUAUGUCCCUUUUAAACCACCAAAAGGAACCUAGCUGGUGCACAGUUAUUUGCAUAUUGUUGCCCUUGUUGACUCUCAGGCCAUUUUAAACUCAGGGAACAUCCAGCUGUCU